AAAAGACCAAUGGAUCCUUUAAUCUAAGUUUGCAGAUUUAUGUCAGAUAAGCAAAGAACUGAUGGACUAGCAGGGAUUUAUUAGAAAGUUUCAAGAGGUAAGACAGCGUCAGAGUAUUUCUCACAUAUUCUGGUUUGGCCAGAUGUUGCAUGCAUGUAUUGCAGAGAUUAAAGAAACCUGUACACCUCUGGCCAACAGAGCCUGUGCACAUGUGCAGAGAUGUGAGGCUAUAUUAAUGGUGUCAACGUAUCUGUAAUUGGUAUUCUAGAAGAAUAGUAGGAAGAGGAGCAGAA
rnacentral:lncRNA from 1 species